GACAGAGGGUGCAAACGUUGUUCGGAAUUACUGGGCGUAAAGCGCGUGUAGGCGGCGAUGUAAGUCGGGUGUGAAAUCCCUUGGCUUAACCAAGGAAGUGCACUCGAUACUGUGUCGCUUGAGUGCCGGAGGGGAUGGCGGAAUUCCCGGUGUAGAGGUGAAAUUCGUAGAUAUCGGGAGGAACACCUGUGGCGAAGGCGGCCAUCUGGACGGUGACUGACGCUGAGACGCGAAAGCGUGGGUAGCAAACAGG
rnacentral:rRNA from 1 species